rnacentral:rRNA from 1 species
AGUAUAAAUAUUUAACUUUGAAACUGCGAAUGGCUCAUUAUAUCAGUUAUAGUUUAUUUGAUGAAAAGUACUACUUGGAUAACCGUAGUAAUUCUAGAGCUAAUACAUGAUAAAAUCCUCGACUUUGAAGAGGUGUAUUUAUUAGAAUGAAACCAAUAGACUUCGGUCUGUUUGUGAGUAAUAAUAACUAAUCGUAUCGCAUGCUUAGGUAGCGA